rnacentral:rRNA from 1 species
AGCGAACGCUGGCGGCAGGCCUAACACAUGCAAGUCGAGCGCCCCGCAAGGGGAGCGGCAGACGGGAGAGUAACACGUGGGAACGUACCCUUCAGUUCGGAACAACCCAGGGAAACUUGGGCUAAUACCGGAUACGUCCGUAAGGAGAAAGAUUUAUCGCUGAAGGAUCGGCCCGCGUCUGAUUAGCUAGUUGGUGGGGUAACGGCCCACCAAGGGGACGAUCAGUAGCUGGUCUGAGAGGGUGAUCAGCCUCACUGGGACUGAGACACGGCCCAGACUCCUACGGGAGGCAGCAGUGGGGAAUAUUGGACAAUGGGCGCAAGCCUGAUCCAGCCAUGCCGCGUGGAUGAUGAAGGCCCUAGGGUUGUAAAGUCCUUUCGGCGGGGAAGAUAAUGACGGUACCCGCAGAAGAAGCCCCGGCUAACUUCGUGCCAGCCGCCGCAGUAAAAC